GCGCAUUAGCUAGUUGGUGAGGUAACGGCUCACCAAGGCAACGAUGCGUAGCCGACCUGAGAGGGUAAUCGGCCACACUGGGACUAAGACACGGCCCAGACUCCUACGGGAGGCAGCAGUAGGGAAUCUUCCGCAAUGGACGAAAGUCUAACGGAGCAACGCAGCGUGAGUGAUAAAGGUAAUCGGAUCGUAAAGCUAUAUUGCCAGGGAAGAACGCCUAGGAGAGUAACUACUAAUAGGGUAACGGUACCUAAGAAGAAAGCCCCGGCUAACUACGUGCAAGCAGCCGCGGUAAUACGUAGGGGGCGAGCGUAGUCCGGAAUUAUUGGGCGUAAAGCGCGCGCAGGCGGCAAUGUAAGUUGGGUGUUAAAACCUAGGGCUCAACCUAAGGUCGCAUCCAAAACUGCAUAGCUAGAGUACAGAAGAGGAAAGUGGAAUUCCACGUGUAGCGGUAAAAUGCGUAGAGAUGUGGAGGAACACCAGUGGCGAAGGCGACUAUCUGGGCUGUAACUGACGCUGAGGCGCGAAAGCGUAGGGAGCAAACAGGAUUAGAUACCCUAGUAGUCCACGCCGUAAACGAUGAAUGCUAGGUGUAAGGGGUAUCGAUACCCUUAGUGCCGAAGUUAACACAUUAAGCAUUCCGCCUAGGGAGUACGGUCGCAAGACUAAAACUCAAAGGAAUUGACGGGAACCCGCACAAGCAGUGGAGUAUGUAGUAAAAUUCGAAGCAACGCGAAGAACCUAACCAGGUCUAGACAUCUGAAUGACCGCCCUAGAGAUAGGGCAAUCCUACGGGACAUACAAGACAGGUGGAGCAUAGUUGUCGUCAGCUAGUGUCGUGAGAUGUUGGGUUAAGUCCCGCAACGAGCGCA
rnacentral:rRNA from 1 species